rnacentral:lncRNA from 1 species
AAAGGAUUAAUGUGUGAGCAACUUAUAAAAAACAACCACUCCUAUAUCUAAAUCGAUACAUUGACUUAUCAAAAAAAAAACCCGGAUACACUGACAGCUCAAGAAAUUAAAAAAAACCCAACACAUUCAACUAUAUAGGAGUAUACAAAUACAAGCAACCCCUUUUAAUUUUAAUUUAAAAUUAGAAAACGUGGGCACACGGUUUGCCAAC